rnacentral:rRNA from 1 species
CGCCAUGAUGACCCUCAAUCGUUAUCGUUUAAGACACCUCGCCUCCAAUGGCCAUAAAGGCGCUAUACGGGCAUUAAAAUUGUUAGAACGACCAGAUCGACUUAUCGGCCUUAUCCUGAUCGGCAAUAACUUAGUCAAUAUAUUAGCUUCUGCUAUUGCGACUAUCAUAGGAAUGCGACUUUGGGGAGAUUUAGGUGUUGCCAUUGCAACAGGGGUGCUCACCUUAGUCGUGUUAGUCUUUGCCGAAGUUACGCCUAAAACUAUCGCCGCCUUGAAUCCUGAGCGGAUUGCCUUCCCAUCCAGUGUACUCUUACGUUGGUUGUUAGUCUUAUUAGCACCAUUGGUAAAGGGAGUUAAUUUAAUCACCUCCGGAUUUCUACGUUUAAUGGGCAUUAAAACCGUUAAUAGCAGCGAUGCCUUAAGCCAAGAAGAAUUACGUACUGUCGUACAUGAGGCCGGAGCACUUAUCCCCCAACGUCACCAAGAAAUGUUGUUAUCUAUUUUGGACUUAGAGAAAGUCACCGUUGAAGAUAUUAUGGUGCCACGCUCUGAUCUCUAUGCGAUCAAUGUGAAUGAUGAGUUUAAGGUUAUCAAUCGCCAAGUUAUCCAAAGUCCCCAUACUCGAGUAUUGGUGUACCGCGAUACGAUUGACGAUGCGGUGGGUUUUAUCCAUUUACGCGAUGCAUUACGCCUACAAUCAAAAAAACAAUUUAGUAAAUCAUCACUGCUCCGCGCAGUAAAAGAGCUUUAUUUUAUUCCAGAAGGAACACCGCUUAAUGUCCAACUAGCUAAUUUUCAACAAAAUAAAGAACGGAUUGGUUUGGUGGUUGACGAAUAUGGCGAUAUUCAAGGCUUAGUAACGCUGGAAGAUAUCCUAGAAGAAAUUGUAGGCGAUUUCACCACUUCGAUGGUUACAGCACCAAGUGAAGAUAUUACUGUGCAGCAGGAUGGCAGCUAUUUAGUGGAUGCUAGCAUUACAAUUCGUGAUUUAAAUAAAGAAAUGAAGUGGGAUUUUCCAACAGAUGGGCCUAAGACACUUAAUGGGCUAAUUUUAGAAUACCUAGAAGAUAUUCCUUCAGAAAACACUAGCUUACGCCUCGCAGGCUAUCCGAUAGAAGUCAUAGAAGUUGCCGAUAACAUGGUAAAAACAGUGCGCGUUAUUCCUCUACAUUACCAUCCACCUCGUUAGCUUAGCUUUCAUCAAUUAAACAAAAUCGGCUUAAUGGUUUAGCCGAUUUUGUGCACCACGAAAUUUAUUUGCUUUUUUGCGCCUCAAGCAUACGACGCUUUUCAAUUGCGACUGCCGUGAUUUGCUCAUUAAGUGACUUUUCUAGUCCAAGCAUAAAGUAGACUUCUGCCAUUAAAAAAACGGCCCAAUUAAUAACUGAUUUAAGUCAUCCACAAAUGCAGGCUUAGCUUUUUCAUAUCGAUGACCAAUUAAUUGAAAUAUCCAUCCGACAAUAAAGAGGGCUAAGGCUAACCAAACGGCAUAGGAAAAAUGAGCAACAAGCUCAGUAGUAUAAAGCACUGGGAUCAAAAAAAGAGUCAAGCCUAGUGCCAACUUAACAUGUAGACGCACAUAAUAAACCAGCACGAGUCCCCCUAAAACGAGACCUAAACUGAUGUCACCCAAACUCCCCAAUGGUAUGCGGAUUGUCGCCAAUAAUAAAAAAGCAGACCAAAUAAUCAGUGGGAUACCCACAAAAUGGGUCUGAAUAUUACGAUGAUUUAGAUGCACACUUUUGUAGGUUGAUAACUGCUCUGCGGCGGAUUUCAUCUUGGGCUCCUUUUGCUCUGUCCCUAUACGUUUCUGGUUCCUAUAAAUUUGCGCCAUACAUGACGCCUAGACCAUAAACUAGCCCAAAAAUAAUCGACUGAACAGCAUAAGUAACAAAAAUAUUACAAUCAAACACAAAGCAGUAAAAAGGGAGCAUAAAGCUCCCUGCAUCAUCAAACAUAAGAUAUCAGCACGAUUCGAGGAUCACAGUCGCAAUGGCAUAGGACUUUUCAUCCGCGAUCGAAAUAUGUCCAAAAACACCAUUGAGGAAAGCCAAACGCUGCUGCGCUCCAUCGGUAAAGCGAAUAGUGGGCGCACCAUCUGGCGUAUUACCAAUAUGAAUGUGUUGAAAAGACACUCCACGGCCAAUACCGGUCCCUAACGCUUUAGCGGCUGCUUCUUUUGCCGCAAAUCGUUUAGCAAGAUAGCGAUUCGGCUGACUAUGGGCGAUAUAAAUCGCCAAUUCAGCCUCAGUCAGCACGCGUCUAGCCAGCUUGUCGCCAGAACGCGCAACAUGAGCCUCAAUACGCUCAAUCUCGACAAUAUCAGUGCCUAGGCCGACUAUCGCCAUUAUUCGCCUCGGCGACCUUCAAGCAUUAACGCUUUCAUGUCUUUCACUGCCGUAGCUAAACCGUCAAUGGCAGCACGUGCGACAAUCGCAUGACCGAUAUUGAGCUCAUAUAACUCAGGAAUCGCCGCAAUCGGUUUCACGUUGUGAUAAUGCAAACCAUGGCCGGCAUUCACCACUAAGCCUUUGCCAUGGGCGUAUUUAGCCAUUUCGCUGAUACGCGCUAACUCAAUAGCUUCUUCCGCUUCAGUUUUAGCAUCGGCAUAACAGCCCGUAUGAAUUUCAAUAAGCGGUGCACCAGAAGCAACAGCGGCAUCAAUUUGGGUUUUAUCGGCAUCGAUAAAUAAGGAGACUUGAAUACCCUCAGCAGUUAAACGAGUCACUGCAGCAGUGAUUUUAUCUAACUGCCCCGCCACAUCUAAACCACCCUCAGUGGUGACUUCUUGGCGUUUUUCUGGCACUAAACAGACAUAAGUCGGCUUAAUUUCACAGGCGAUGUUAAGCAUUUCUUCGGUCACCGCACAUUCAAAAUUCAUGCGGGUU